AGAAACUGAAAAACAUGAAGAUUACAAUGAUACUCUAUUUUCAUUCAGCAUUUAUUGGUGGGCAAUGAAGAUAGAAGAUAAAUAAUGUGAAGCCUGCCCUCAAAAAUCCCUAGAAGCAGAUAACAUCAUGGAAAAGGCCGAUCCCUUGGAACGCGGAGGCUCCUCGUGCCUACUUAUUUGCCCGGGCUUCUAAGACCCACACGAAAAGGAGCCCAAGGCGGGGCACCUUCUGCUAUUCAAGUGGGUGUCUGUGGCCUAACGUAGACGGUGCAAGUUUCUUGUCUUGAGACUUUAUUAGCUUUCCGUGUAAACCAAGGAAUAUCAGCCUCUUUUCUCCACUAAUUUUCCUACUAUACUAUUCUUUCCUAAUCUCUCUGUAUAUUUCUAAAUAAAUAAGUUUUUCCUCGCUG
rnacentral:lncRNA from 1 species